GAAAUUCCAAUCGAACCCGGAGAUAGCUGGUUCUCUCCGAAAUAGCUUUAGGGCUAGCCUCAAUUAACAUUACCGCAGGUAAAGCACUGAAUGAGCUAGGGGGCGAAAGCUUACUGAACUCUAUCAAACUCAGAAUGGCGGAUAAUGAAUGAUUGGGAGUCACACUACGUGAGAUAAGUUUCGUGGUGGAAAGGGAAACAGCCCAGACCCACAGCUAAGGUCCCAAAGUACAGUUAAGUGGAAAAGGAUGUGAAAUUGCGCAGACAACCAGGAUGUUGGCUCAGAAGCAGCCACUCAUUCAAAGAGUGCGUAAUAGCUCACUGGUCGAGUGAUUUUGCGCCGAAAAUUUAACGGGGCUAAACUGUACACCGAAGCUUGGGAAUAUACAUUUGUAUGUUGGUAGGAGAGCGUUGUGUAAGGGGUGAAGUCGUAGCGAAAGCGGCGGUGGACUUUACACAAGUGAGAAUGCCGGAAUGAGUAGCGAGAAUUAUGUGAGAAUCAUAAUGGCCGAAAGACUAAGGUUUUAGAAGGAAGGUUCGUCCGCUUCUAGUUAGCCGGGAGCUAAGGCGAGGCCGAGAGGCGUAGUCGAUGCACAUACGGUUGAGAUUCCGUAGCUACCUUGCAUUUAAGCGAAGGGACACAUUUGAAGGGCAUGACCCGGGCGUUGGUUGACCCGGGCGUAAGGGACCGAAAAUAAGUAGGGAAGCAUGCUUGGAUGGUGGCGAGAAAAGCUUCGUGUAUAUAAGCAGGGUACCCGUACUGCAAACCGACACAGGUAGUCAGGAAGAGGAUUCUAAGGCCAUCGGGAGAAGCGUUGUUAAGGAACUCGGCAAAUUGACCCCGUAACUUCGGAAUAAGGGGUGCUCACGCGAGUGAGCCGCAGUGAAUAGGUCCAGGCAACUGUUUAUCAAAAACACAGCUCUCUGCUAAAUCGUAAGAUGACGUAUAGGGGGUGACACCUGCCCGGUGCUGGAAGGUUAAGAGGAGGGGUGCAAGCUCCGAAUUGAAGCCCCAGUAAACGGCGGCCGUAACUAUAACGGUCCUAAGGUAGCGAAAUUCCUUGUCGGGUAAGUUCCGACCCGCACGAAUGGUGUAAUGAUCUGGAUACUGUCUCAACAACGCACCCGGCGAAAUUGUAGUACCGGUGAAGAUGCCGGUUACCCGCGGCAAGACGGAAAGACCCCAUGGAGCUUCACUGUAGCCUGAUAUUGGGUCUCGGUAUUUUAUGUACAGGAUAGGCGGGAGACUUGGAAACCAGCACGCCAGUGUUGGCGGAGUCACCCUUGGGAUACCGCUCUUAAAGUAUUGAGAUUCUAACCUGCAGCCAUGAAUCUGGCUGGGGGACAUUGUCAGGUGGGCAGUUUGACUGGGGCGGUCGCCUCCAAAAGAGUAACGGAGGCGUUCAAAGGUUCACUCAGCAUGGACGGAAACCAUGCCUUAGAGUGCAAACGCAUAAGUGAGCCUAACUGCGAGACUGACGGGUCGAGCAGUAACGAAAGUUGGAGUUAGUGAUCCGGCGGUAUGUGAGUGGAAAUGCCGUCGCUCAACGGAUAAAAGCUACCCUGGGGAUAACAGGCUGAUCUCCCCCAAGAGUCCACAUCGACGGGGAGGUUUGGCACCUCGAUGUCGGCUCAUCACAUCCUGGGGCUGAAUUCGGUCCCAAGGGUUCGGCUGU
rnacentral:rRNA from 1 species